UCNCAGAAGGACACAGCCUGUUGCCUCACA
rnacentral:piRNA from 1 species